UACGAAGGGGGCUAGCGUUGCUCGGAAUCACUGGGCGUAAAGGGUGCGUAGGCGGGUCUUUAAGUCAGGGGUGAAAUCCUGGAGCUCAACUCCAGAACUGCCUUUGAUACUGAAGAUCUUGAGUUCGGGAGAGGUGAGUGGAACUGCGAGUGUAGAGGUGAAAUUCGUAGAUAUUCACAAGAACACCAGUGGCGAAGGCGGCUCACUGGCCCGAUACUGACGCUGAUGCACGAAAGCGUGGGGAGCAAGCAGG
rnacentral:rRNA from 1 species